GUGGAUGAGAAGCUGAGGAGGUGCAGGAGGAAAGAUUCACCUUAAGAUCGUGCCAACAAGGGCCUAUCACAAAUUGGAGAUAAGGAUGGAGAAGAGAAACCUCUCUUAAUCAGAAUUACUCCUGGCAUGGAGGAGGAGCGGCUGGGAGUUGUAGCCGGAAGCCAGAGCACAUGUGUUGCAGCUGAAUCAAUCAGGAAGUGAUCGCGAUCGAUGCAUCAAAGGAUAUCCCUUUAUUGCCUGAAGUGGUAUUAUGACCACAAAGAACAACAGAAGAUUGUGCAUUGCAGACCAUAGAGAAGGCCACAGGCCCUGAUUCUUCCUCUUCCUCCUUCUUACAUUGGCCAUUUCAUCAUGGUGUUCUGCUGUGACUAUUCCUGGGAUGUUUUGAGAAGGCUGGAUCACACUUGCAGGCGUUGAGUUAUCCGGUCACAUCGGGAUAUAACAUCAGUUCACACAGACAGAGACUGGAUCUUCUUCAAAGAUGUCCAUCCUCAAGGUUCUUCUGUACAAGCAAGGCUAGUCAUUCUUCCCUGUCUUUAGUCCCAUCAUAUUCAACCUGUCUUUGUCUUCUUUCCAAGAGCCUGCUUCAAAACUGGGAGCAAGACUUUGAUGGCCUAUUGGCGAAUGGAGUCUGAAGUGACCAAAGGAGCCUCAUACUUACUCACACAGCGGACUGCACCUCACGGUACUAAAGGCCCCUGUAGACUGUUAACCAGCCCUCCAACAGCAGAGGCUGGAGAAGGAGCUCAGGUCCGGAUGCCAGUUCAAACUUCGGUUCAAGAUCCGUCCAGCUCCAGAAGGGAACAAGAGGCACGGGUCAUGGCUGAAAACAAGAUGGAGUAGUUCCCUGCACUUCAGAGCUAAGGUUUACUGGAGAGCAGAUGGUGACACACUGCAGUUGCUACGUCGCAAUGUCACCUCAGAUAAUUUGCAUUCUAGCUUUUUGCUUCUCCAAAAUAAUCUCUCAGUGCCAGCUUUCACUGUCGAAGUAAACGGGUAGCUUGAAUUGGGCAGAAGAUAUUUUAAAUUAGGGAAUCAGUCAUCUCCAUGGUGAUCCAAGUCACCAAAAUAGGUCAGAACCAGACUCUGUUGAAAAAAAAAAAUCUCUGGGAAGUGCAGGGAAAAGGAGAGAAGCAGCUGUGAUGUCCCGAAAAGAAAGAAGUAGCCUAUUUGUUUUUCAUAUGAACUGCGAUUCACUGAAAGUUUUAAAGGGUUGAAAACAUUACUUCCAGUGACCUGACUGCCUCGCAGUGGUGACACAUGUCAUUUGAAGAAAUGCCAGGAGGGAAGAGGAGAAAACUGCAUUUGACCUAUCAAAUAUAGGUGGCUGUUGAAAGGAAGACACUGACACAAAGGUCCCCGAGUCCACACAGUUUUCUCUCAUUGCCCCAAUAUUUUACUUCAUUUCUUCACCUCAUUUCUCUAAUGCUUUGCUCAUGUCCUGGAUGCACUGAAAAGCGCCAAACUCCAGGCCUGCUGGCAGUGAGCUGUGCUUCAUUCUUCAUGUAUGAACUCAGUUUCGGAAUGAAUCUCUCCCAGCGGAAAGAAACGGUGGAAAAUUGUACAGCUCAGUUCGUGUACAGAUGAAGAAGGACAGGCUCAGUGAGUUUGGAAUAACAAGAUGGAUUUUCCCUUGCUAGGCGAUUAAAAAAAAAAAGAUGAAAUUCAUGACCACAGUAAAUGUUGAGCACCAUUUUUCACUCUGUGUCUAAUCCCUUUUGUGAGCAAAACUAACUGGGAGAAUUAUAAAAACAUCAACAUGGACAAAUCCAGGCUUUUUAAGCUCUCUGUGAUUGUUACCUGCCACAAUGUGAGCAAGCAUUUUUAUUUUUAUACCUGCCAUACUUUAUGUCCCAUGCUUGUUCCCCGAGGUUUCAAGUUCCCAGAUCCCUCUGCUCAUUAGUCUCUCAUUUUCAUUUUGCCUUUCUUUGGAUUCGGUUGCAUUUGAGAAUGGAAUCAGAAGACAGAAGUCAGGACAGAGGGAAGAAUUGGGGUGUGUUGGAGGAUGUGUGGAAAGAAAACGGGCCUAUAAUCUGGAGAAGAAGGACCUAAUGGAUGGACUUCAAAGGUGUGUGACCUGUGUAGUCACCUGGAGCCUUAUCCUUAGAAGGGACCCACUCUUGGCUUAAUGCUGUGCCAUCACCAUCUUGUGCAAGGAUCCUCACAGUUUCAUUUUGCACUGGGCCACACAACUUAUGUGGCUGGUUCUGAGAGCCGAUAGGAAAGGAAUUCCCCCAGGAGAUAGAUAUCUGAGGAACAAUAGGGAAAUAGCAAGUAGUAAGGUUUCAUAGAAGGUCAUGGAGAACAGGGUUGACAUGUGAGUUCACAUCACCAGAACUGAGCUCCCUCCUUCAAGGAGAAAAAAUGAAGGCAAGAAGCAAGCAAACCAGAACAGUGUACAUGGUCUGAUUGUUGCAGCCCUGGAAGCCGCCACUCCUCUCUUCCUCCUCCCCACAACAUACCAACACCCUCAAUUCCAUGUACAAAAUUAAGUUCCCUAGGUUUAAGAUUUUUCCUGCUCUCAGAAAAAAAAAGUGCAUAUGUAAUUAAUCAUAGUAGUCAUCUACAUUUAUUCUGUCAGGAAUGAACUAUUUAUUGUGUAUCUCCCAUGGUAAGUCAUUCUUCUAGAUACUAUGGAUAGAAUAGUGAGUAAGGCGUACAGAAACCUUGCACUCAGGGAGAUUACAUUCAAGUGAGGAGACAGAAAAUAAAACAUGUAAAUAAAUGCAUAAAAAUGAUAAUAUGUGAUACUGGUAAGUGUGCUACAGAUAAAAUGGUCAGCAAAGACUGGGCAGGUGGCUUUAGGGUGGUCUGGGCUGGCCCCUCUGAAGAGAUGGCAUGCAAAUUGGCAGCCAAGUGAAUAGAAGGUAAGUCUGCAAAGAUCUGGAGAAAUAACUCUCCAGGAAGAGGAAGCAACAUGUGUGAAGGCUCUGAGAUGAGAACUAGCUUGCUGUGUUGAGGGACAGAGAGAGAAGGCAUGUGUGGCUGAAAGCUAGGGCAUGGUGGAGAGAAUGAAGAAACGUGAGGCCAAAAAGUCAGUAGAGGUGAGAUCACUUUCUAGUCCAGAGGAGGAAUUUAGAUUUUACUCAAAAAUAAAGGAAACCGUCAGAGAAUUUUAUGGUACGAGAGUGACAUGAUCCAAUUUACAUCUUUCUGUGUAGAGGAUGGUCUGUAGGGGAUAUACUAGCAAGAAUGGAGGUGGAAGAUGACAGGGGUCUUGGGAGUGACCCAGGGGAGAGAGCGGCAGAUGCAAUAGAGUAGGGAAGCCUAGAGGUAUAAGCAGCAUUAGGAUUCAGGAUAGAUCCUGGAGAAGAACUGAUAGCUUCCUGAUGAAUUUAAUGUAGGAUGUUAGGGGAAAAAAGAAAACAUGGGCAUCUCCUAUGUCGUUGGUGUGAGUGACUGGUUAGACUGCAGCCCCAUUACUAAGUACAGAAAGGAUGCAAAGAGGAGGGUUUUGCUGUGUUGAGGUGGGAGUUGAGAACAGGAGUUAUAUUCAGGUAGAGGUGUGGUGUAUGCUGAUAGAUGAGACCCAUCACGAGAGAAGAUAUCUAGCCAACAAUAUAGGUGAAUUAUCAACAUAGAAGUGUUUUUUUAUUUCAUAGGGGAGGAUGAGGAUUACCUCAAGGAGGGAUUGUAAGCAAAGAUAGUAAGAGGGCUCCAAGAUUAGAGGUUUAGUUUUGUCAUAGGGAAAACAACCAGGAGAGGGGAUGUCACAGAACCAGAGAUGAAAACAUUUUUGAAAGGAGGGGAACAACUGACCGGCUGCAUAGACAUCGAAGAGAAUUCAAGGCAGAACAGAAAAACAGACCAUUGAAUUUGGCGAGAUGAAUAUAACAGUGACCUUGAUCAGGACUAUUUUUGUACAGUGGGGUUAGAGUGGGGAAAAAAAUGCCCAAUCAGAGUGGAUAGCAAAGAAUGAGAAGUGCAGAUGGGCUUGCAGACAGUGAGUUUGGACAGCUCUUCUGUGACUUAAGAGAAUAAGAGAAUAGAUGGGAAGGGAAGGGAGGAAAGGGGAAGAGAGAAAAGAGAAACAGUGUUAGAUAGAAGGACAAGAGGCCAAAGAAGAUUCAUUAAAAAAACCUUUUAAAAUAUUUAUUAUUUUAAGGCAUAUUUGUACAGUAGACAGGAAGAAAUGGACAAUGCAGAUAUACUAGGUACAACUGAAAUUCUCUUAACCUCCAUUUCCUCCACUUGAGAAUGGAUUAAUUGUCCUCUCUUUUUUCUUUUUCCUUCUUCCUUUCCUUCCUUCCUUCCUUCCUUCCUUCCUUCCUUCCUUC